GGUUCCAUAGCGCAGUGGAUAGCGCGACUGACUUCUAAUCAGUAGGUCGUGGGUUCGACCCCCACUGGAAUCG